UGCACGAGCCCGCGCCCCGGUGUCCCGCGGGCGGCCUGCAGCUCUUCGCGGACUCGCUCCCCGUGGCGACCCACUCCCGAGGCCCCCGAUCGAGGCGCGCCGGGAAAGCGCCGGGAAGCCGCGAGUGGCGGAGGACGCGCCGCUGACCGGGGGGGACGCGAGCUGGCAAGGGCUGCCCUUGAAAACAGACUGGAAGACGCAGUUGGUGCAAAAAUGCUGCACCAUGCCCUGAUGCUAGCUGACAAUCCCUUCCUUCCAGCAACUCAAGGCAGCAUGAAUAAUUCCCCCCUUCUCCAAUAGAUCUUCACAACAACCCUGUGAGGUUGUAUAAGAUUUUUUCUCCCUCCUUCUCUUCUACCUCUUGGAGGAAUCUGGAACUGCCCGUCGAAUAUUCUGUGGACACGAUGCCAAAAGAUCUCCAAAAGAUUCUAUAGUU